rnacentral:rRNA from 1 species
GACGAACCGUGCGAACGUUGUUCGGAAUCACUGGGCUUAAAGGGCGCGUAGGCGGGGCUGCCAGUCAGGGGUGAAAGCCCACGGCUCAACCGUGGAAGUGCCUUUGAUACUGCAGCUCUGGAGGGAGGUAGGGGCGUGCGGAACUUCCGGUGGAGCGGUGAAAUGCGUAGAUAUCGGAAGGAACACCGGUGGCGAAAGCGGCGCGCUGGACCUCUACUGACGCUGAGGCGCGAAAGCCAGGGGAGCAAACGGG